CCUACGGGACGCAGCAGUGAGGGAUAUUGGUCAAUGGGCGAGAGCCUGAACCAGCCAAGUCGCGUGAGGGAGUACUGCCCUAUGGGUUGUAAACCUCUUUUGUCGGGGAGCAAAAGCCGGACGUGUCCGUCUGUGAGAGUACCCGAAGAAAAAGCAUCGGCUAACUCCGUGCCAGCAGCCGCGGUAAUACGGAGGAUGCGAGCGUUAUCCGGAUUUAUUGGGUUUAAAGGGUGCGCAGGCGGAUUUUUAAGUCUGAUGUGAAAGCCUUCGGCUUAACCGGAGUAGUGCAUUGGAAACUGGGAGAC
rnacentral:rRNA from 1 species